GCAUUGGUGGUAUAGUGGUCAGCAUAGCUCCCUCCCAAGCAGUUGACCUGGGUUCGAUUCCCGGCCAAUGCG
rnacentral:tRNA from 1 species